CCUAACCCUAAUCGCCCUUUUCUCGUCUCCUCCCAUACCAACCAUCAGCCGCCGCCGCCACUCCACCUUCCCUCCUCGCGUCUCUCCAUGUCGCCGCCGGCGGCGCCGGCAUUGAACCACCAUGCGCCAGGCCCCUCCCAUCCAGCCCACACCAGACCCCUCCCCGUCUACCUCACUCCAUGCCCCUUCUCAUGCAGAUCGCGCCCUCGAGCUGCGGCGGCUCAGUCCUGCAUCUCGAGAUGAUGCGGCCAUGGUGGCGGCGGGGCCGACUGCCGGGUUUGGAACCCCCUGAUGCCGGCGGCGGGCACGGAUCCAGCUCCAUCCAGUGGCUGAGACACACACGCGUGCUUCUCCUUGAAUGGUUAGUGGCAAAUCUGAGGGGAACACGGACGUGUCCUUCAUGCAGGAUGAUGCACCGGCCGCAUCGAUUUCAACUGGUAUUGCUGAAGCUAUCCACGAGAGCCAUUUCCUCUCCUACACAAUUCCUGUUAUAGGAACUAAAUAUCUCAUGACAAAGUCAUGCACAGGGGCAGCUCCUUGCAAUGUACAGUGCAGUGCCUGAUCUAGUACAUAUGUUGUCCCAAUGGAUAUGGGCAUUUACAGCUGAUUUGAGAUCCUUUUCGAUAUAGCUACUAUCACUAUCACCAGGAGGAUAGUUUCGAAAAUGAAGCCUGCUAGGUAUAGCAGAGAAGUAAAUGUAUGACGGUGAUGUCGAUUGUUGGCUGCCAGUGUGAACCAGCAAAUAUGCCGAGAUGAUAGGCAGUUGAUGGAAGCGUCCAAGUCCAGCCAGGUAAGAUUAUGUAGCAAGCUACUUGGUGCAGCCAUCACAAUCAGCCACGACAUGAUAGUUGCCACAGGAGGACCGAUGGCAAGAACAUGAAUAACAACCUCAAUAGUUUAUAUGUUAUGUUGAUGUAAAAUGGAUUGUACUGGUUCCUAACCUUGUUUUGUGAUAUAUUUGUCAAUCUAUGUUGUAAGUUAUCAUUUCA